GUUAUAGUAGGACCAGGUUAUAGUAGGACCAUGUUAUAGUAGGACCAGGUUAUAGUAGGACCAUGUUAUAGUAGGACCAGGUUAUAGUAGGACCAGGUUAUAGUAGUACCAUGUUAUAGUAGGACCAUGUUAUAGUAGGACCAGGUUAUAGUAGGACAGAGUACCAAGGGAUGUAGGACCAGGUUAUAGUAGGACAGAGUACCAAGGGAUGUAGGACCAGGUUAUAGUAGGACCAGGUUAUAGUAGUACCAAGGCCCAACUCAGGCCUACAUUCAAUCAGAUCAGCGUUAAAGCCAUACUGCCAAUUUCUGGCAUUUUUUCUGCUUCCCCAUGUAGCUCCCUUCAGUAACCACGAGCACAACCGUUC
ensembl:lncRNA